rnacentral:lncRNA from 1 species
AGUAGAUGGUGAUCGGUCUUGAGAUAGAAUCAACAACUUUCAAGCCAGAGAUGAAAUUUCUUAAUCAAACGGCUUGAACUGUAGCCCCAUAACAUGCCACAAAUUCAGCUUGCAUAGUAGAAGAUGUCACUAGAGUCUGUUUAGUGCUUUUUCAAGAAAUGACACCACCAACUAAUGUGAAAAUAUAACCUAACGUUGAUUUCAAAUCAUCUUGACAUCCAGCAAAAUCAGAAUCUGAAUAUCCUACCAUCUCAAGAUGAUUUGUACGCUGGAAUGCAAGCAUAUAACCUUCAGUUUUCUUUAAAUAUCUCAUAACUUUCUUAGCUACUUUCCAAUGCUCUUGUCCUGGAUUAGACUGAAAUCUGCUAAGGACACUUACUGCAUAGGUUAUAUCCGAUCUAGUGUAAACUUGAGCAUAUAUCAAGCUCCCCACAGCACUGGCAUAUGGAAUCAUCUUCAUAGACUCCCUUUCUAGCUCAUUCCUUGGACAAUGAGUUUUGUUAAACUUAUCUCCUUUUAUUAUAGGUACAUCACUAGGUGCACAAUUUUGCAUAUUAAACCUUUCUAGAACACGUCGUAUAUAAGCUUUCUGAGAAAGUCCCAAUGAGCCACAAUUUCUAUCACGAUGUAUUUUAAUGCCAAGUAAAUAAAAAGCUUCUCCAAAAUCUUUCAUUUCAAAAUUAGCAGACAAUAUUUUUCUUUUGAAUCUAAUUUACUUUUGAAAAUUCACUUGUUAUCUAGAGCCUUAGCAUCUGGAGGAAGUUCAACAAGAUCCCAAACUUUAUUCCAUCCAUGGAAUUCAUUUCAUCUUUCAUGGCAGCUAUCCAUUUAUCUAUCUCAAAACUUGUCAAUGCUUGGUUAUAAGUUACAGGAUCAACAAUAUGCCCAAUAUUACAAUCGCUCUCCAAUAAAUAUGUAAUAUAAUCACUGGGCAAUGCAGAUCUUCUUUCCCUUUGUGAUCUCUUGAAUUAUGGCUUAGAAAAUGAUUCACUCAUUGUUUGAGGAAUUGGAGGUUCCACCUGGUUCCUCUGUUCUCCAUUAACAAUUUCAAUUGGUUGAGAACCAACUUUUUCCUGUAUAAUAGGAACUGAAACAACAACUUGAUUAGGUUCAACAAGAAUUUCUCUCAACGUGGAACUCCCACUAUCUCUAAAAUCAUUCUCUAGAAACUUAGCAGUAAUGAACUUCAUAAUUCUAGUACCGCGAUUUGGACAAUAAAGCUUAUAUCCCUUUUAUCUAUCUGGAUAUCCAAUAAAGUAGCCAGAAGUUGAUUUAGGGUCUAAUUUCUUUUCAAAUGGAUUAAAAAUCCUAAUCUCAGCUGGACAUCCCCAAACUUUAAAUUGAGCCAAACUUGGCUUGCGUCCUGUCCAUAAUUCAAAAGGUGUCUUUGCAACGGCUUUACUUGGAACUCUAUUCAAAAUAUACAUAACAGUUUUCAAAGCUUCACCCCACAAAUAUUCAGGCAAAUUUGUUUUACUCAUCAUACUACUAGCCAUAUCUUUUAGGGUUUGAUUACAUCUUUCAAAAACACCAUUUUGCUCUAGUGUCCCUAGCAUGGUGUAUUGGGGACACUAUUCCACACUCUUGUAAAAACUUUGCAAAAUCACCCAUAUUUUGACCAGACUCAUCAUAUUUCUCAUAGUACUCACCACCACGGUCAGACCUUACAACUUUGAUACUUUUUCCACAUUGUUUCUCUACUUCUAGUUUGAAAACUUUGAAUUUCUCAAAUGCACGUGAUUUAUCGUUAAUCAAGUAAAUAUCCAUAUCGUGAGAAAUCAUCAAUAAAGGUUAUAAAAUAUAUGUUCCCACAUAUGGUGAAAGGCAAAGGUCCACUGAUAUCAGUGUGAAUUAAAUCCAAAAUUUCAUUGCUCCUAGUCGAACCCUUUCUUGUAGAUUUAGUUAGCUUUCCUCUUAUACCAUCCACACAGGUUUCAAAAUCAGAGAAGUUUAAAGAGGGAAGUAUCUCAUCUUUUACUAAUUUUUCCAUUCUAUCCUUAGAGAUAUGACCCAAACGCUUAUGUCACAACAUAGAGGAUGAUUCACGAAUUAAAGUUCUUUUCUUUAAUACAUUGGUAACACAUGAGACAUCACCAAAAGGAGCCAAAGAUAAUUUAUAUAAACCAUCACAUAAAAUGUCAUUUCUAAUCAAACGAGAAUCAUUAAAUAACUUAACCAUUCCAUUACCAAAAUUAAAUGUAAAACCAGAAGCAUUAAGUUUCGGUAUGGAAAUUAAAUUCUGUCUCAUCUGUGGUACAUAAACUGUAUUUUCCAAAACAAGAUAAAAACCAGACUCUAAAAUUAAGUUCACUACUCUUAUGGAUUCAACCUUCACUUGAAAUCCAUUUGCAACGCUCAAGCUUACUUCAUUCUCACUUAACCUCCGUUUCCUUGUGACCCCUGCAAGGAAUUCGCAAUAUGAAUACUAGCUCCCGAGUCUAAUCACCAAGAAUUCAAAGGCACAUCUACUAAAGAAGACUCAAAACAAACUAAGGCCAAGGGAAUACCUGGAGAACUCCUCUUCUUUUCCAACCAAGUCUUGAACUUAAAAUAGUCUUUUUGUCAGUGAUCCUUCUUUUUACAGAACUUGCAUUGAUUACUUUUCUUUAUAACUCCUUUGGGACCACUAAAAUUUUUAUUCUACUGACUUCGAUGGGAUUUAUUACCCUUACGAAAUUUAGGUUUAUGAUUAUAAGAAGGCUCUUUAUUCUGUGAUGGCUGAAAAGCUAAUUGCACAGUUUUAACAGUUUCACGGCGCAUCCUAUACUCUUCUUGGGCACACACUGUUAUGAGAUCAUUCAAAUUUCAUUUAUCCCGCUGAGCAUUGUAAGCAACCUUAAGCUGAUUAAACUUACUAGGAAGGCUAUUCAAAACAUGAUAGACUAGGAAAGGCUCCGCAAUGGAAAUGUCAAGAGCCUUUAGCUUAGAUGAUAUAUUUAUCAUUUUCAUGACAUGCUCCCUAACACCACUUGUGCCAUCAUAUCUCAUGCUCAUCAAUUUAUCCAUCAGAUCCCUAGUUUCAGCUUUAUCAAACUUAACAAAAUUUUCUCCUAUGGCAUCCGUAAAACUUUUGGCAUUUUCAUUAUCAAGGAUGGCACCUAAAAUGGAAUAAGAUAUCGAUCGCUUAAUGAUUUUCAAAUAGAGUUUGUUAACCCUUUCCCACUUUUCAUGCUCGACUAUAUAUCCAACGGUACUCUUAUAUGUGGGUUUCUCAAGUUUUUUCUCCAUUGCAAAAUCCAAACCCAAAAGAUCAAGUGUUAUUUCUACGUCUCGUUCCAUCUCACAUAGUUAUUUUUAGUCAAAGUUUCAAUAACAGACAAUUGACUCAAAAGAGAUGAGGCAUUAUAAACUGUGGAAACAUAAAAUAUCACACUUAAUAUUAUCCAACCGUAAUGCAUGCAAUCAAAUGGAUGAUGAAAUAUCCAAUUAAUUAAUAUGGGUUAUUAAUUAGAUAAUCCGUAAUUUAAAUCGAAACAUAUAAAUUUUAUUACGGUAAGAG